rnacentral:lncRNA from 1 species
AUUACUCUCAGCAAGUAUUGAAAGCUUUUCUGUCAACUGGAAUGCCAAGGCCUGCAACCUUGAGUACUCAACAUCAUGGAAGAUGAUGCAUCGUGUUGGCUGGUCCCAGCUUGCAUGGAGUUCGUCAUUUACCAACAUCUUGCUAACAAUGCUAUGAAUCUGGGCAUCCGAGAGGUCAAACAUUUUGGUGAGCUGGUCCAGGCCUAGUGUAUCAUAGGAAGAACAGUAGGUAAAAAGGUAAGUCCUCAGAGCCUCUUCCUUGAUCUUAGCUUUCAGCAUUUCAAGCACGCUCUCUCUAUUCCUAAGGAGCUUCCAAACAUCAAGAGAAUUAAUGACGUCGAAGGCCUUCUGGAAAUCUCCCUUGCAGAGGGCCCGGGUUGCAGCCAUUACAUGGUCUCGCACAUUUUCUGGGGGACCUGUAAAUGGCUGCCUCUCACUCACCUCAAGCAACCGCCUGAAUGUCUUACUUAUCACAUUGCGUUUGGCGUCAAGGGAGUUGGCUGCCAUGUUAGGAACCUCAAGAAGCAUAGCACAUAUCAAAUGCACAGCCUCCAGAAGCUCAAGGUUUAUGUGCAUAUGGUAGGGCAUCUGACGCCUCCUUUCCAACCUUUCCUGAUAGAUCCAAAGUUUAAAAGAGUAUAAGUCCACAAAAAAUUGAUGAAUGUACAUAGCCAGUCCCUCUAUUAUAAGGAAUAGAUCAAAUUAGUCCCUUCACUGUUAAAUAGAUCAAUUUAAUCCCCGUACCAUUAAAAUGAAUCAAAUAAUACCAAUUUUCAACAGAGUUAAUAUUUUGAAAGCUUUUUAUGGUUCUACAAAUGAAAUCUUUUGUUUGAACUUAAACUGCAUAUGAAAAAAACAAUUUCAUGUCAUUUUUUAAAUAGUAAAUGUUAAUUUGCCCUUACUCAAUUCUUCUUAAUAGCAUAAUGAUUAAAUCUAUCCAUUUAAUAGUAAAAGAACUAAUUUGCUCCAACACCUAUAAUAAAGGGACUCAGAAGGUAUGGCACUUUCACCUCAAAAAAUUAUAAAGUAGCAUGUAAGUGCACAUGUUAUCACGCUGUUCAGUUGUUCGCAAAUGAAGCGUAUGACUUGAACGCAUUUAAGUCAGAAUUUCACACAACAAGGGCUCAUAGAUCAACAUGAACAUCCCACAAUUAUUCGUUACAAUUAUGCCAAUAGUUAGAUAUAUAGUAAUUAUUUCCAAAGUAAAAAGAACUGAUCAGUGGCAAACAUACUUCAAUAACUAGAUUUCCGAAUGAAUUCAUUGUCUUGUAACUGUUGUUUAUGCUACUGCAUUUGUAUCAACUUCUUAAAAUAUCCGAAUGCCUAAUAGAAACAUUGUGUCAAAAGAAAUAUCCUUCCAAUCCCAACAGAAACAAUACCAUCUAACCAACCAAUCAAAAACUAUUUACUAAAGUGUAAAGCCAAAAAAAUAAAAUUAGCAUGCAAAAACCAUCAAAUGCAAACAGUAAAAGAAAACAAAACUGUACAGACUCGAGGAUUAUCAGUUAAAGCUAUUGUUAAUUAUGAUCUGUCAAGGAAUUCUAUUACGAUCGAUACCUGUUCUGGGGUUUUCUCAUGAUAUCGACUUUGUGAAACACCUUGUGCAAGCAAUUCCUUCACCCUCCCACCAGAAUACAGUUCAGAAAGGCAGCCAUGUCCUUCAGCAAUUAGUCCAACACGGAAGGCACAGAGGCCAACCUGAGCCAUUGCCCGGUUAAAAAGUAUCUGUGUUGAAACAUCCAUAUGCUGAAUAUUAUCCUGUAAAUGACUCAUCAGCAGCAAAUCACGAGCUAUUGAAAACUCAUCAAAAAGGGCAUGAUGAUAAAUAUCACAAAGCAUUGCACGGGCUUUGGUCCUCUCAUCUCCACUUUUGUAUAUGAGAGUCACUAGGAUAUCCAUCAAUGCUCUACUAUUCUCGGGGAAUGUCGGCUUCCGGGACACGAGCUCAGGAGUAACAACAAACGCAGAUAUACCCCGUGUUUCCUCCACUUUAGUCUCAUCGCCAUCUGUUUCUCCAUCUUCCGAUAGCUCAGCCAGUUUCCUCAUAGCAUCAUAAACCUCUUGAGGCUUGUAAUAGACAAGUUCAACCCGCCUUAGAGCAACCUUAGCAGCAGACUUCAAAUCACCAAUACGCUCUAAAUACUCCUGGACAUUUUGAGCAAGGACCAAAAACAAAGGUUCAUCUCUCAGUCUCUCAACAUACUCACGAGUGUGUGGAUCAAUGCAUUGCAAGCUCUUAAAGAACUCAUUAUCUAUUCUCUCAAGGAAGGCCACCAAAUUUCCCCAAACACGGAUUGUACCAUCAUAGUCUGCUCCCUUUUGGGUUUCAUUCUCAUCAGGCUCAACCCUAUCAUCGACCACAAUGUUCGGGUACUGAACAAGAAUGUCCAAUAUGACAAGCAUAUUCUGUACACAUUUCUUCCACACAUUUAUAGGCAUGUGUCCACUAAGACCUGGAUUAACAUCAAACUGUGCAGAGAUAACACUGAAAAGGAUCUCAAGCUUCUGAGCAGGAGUCUUGGCAACCUUUGUCAAAAAGGUAAGCUGCUCGACCUGUUCAAAUUUUCCAGUUCCCUUCCUUCCCCUAGCAGCCACAACUUCUUUAAACUUCUUGUUAACAGUAUCCCAGGUGAUCUCACUAGGAUCUUUCUUAAACUCCCGAUCCAUCAGCUUCUCUUUCUUGCUUAGUUUCUUCUCCCAGGCCCCAUCAGCAUCAUCAUCAUCCAUAUCUUCCCCCUCAUCAUCCUCAUCACUAGACUCAGCAGCAAUCUGUGAGGGGUCCUCCAACUCAGAGCCAGAUUCAUCUUCAUCCUCAUCUUCGUCCUCAUCUUCAAACUUCUCCUCUUCACUCUCAGGAUUCUCCCUAUACUUGUUAAUCAAUUCCUCAUACUGCUUAUUAUUCUUCUUGAGCUUCUGUUUCAUUGCGUUCAAAGCCUUGUGAUUACUGCUACUCAUUUUCUUUUUGGCUUCCUUAUUAGCCAAAGCUUCAGCUAAGAAAUCUUCCAACAUAACAAGACACUUAAUAUAAAGAUUUGGAACUCUGUCGGACUCGGUAACACGCAUAACCUUCUCCAACUGUUUAUUAAUCUUAUCAAAACUCUCUUGCAAGCUAACCCAGUCAUUGAUUUUCAUUGCAUUCUUCAUCUGAUCAACCGUACUUGCCAUCUCCUCAAACCUCUUAUCUUUGGCGGAUCUAACCACCCUCUUUUGCCCAUCGGAAUCAUCACUAUCACUAGCAUUUGUUUGUAGAUAUCUGCUUCCCGCAGCAGCAGCUGCGGAUUCUCCAGCUCCCCCAUUCUCAAUUUCAUCUUCGAUAUCAGUCUCCUCUUCCUCAGUGUCACUACCACCCUAUCGUAAAUUUAGAAAAAAAAUUAUAUAUGUAUGACCUCCUCAAUACAAUAUUAGGUAAAGGCUAGAUAUUUUAAAUUCAUACGUCAAAAAAGAUAAAUUAAAAAAAAAAAAACCAAACAAACCUGAGUCCAGAAUUUAGAUGCCAUUGGCUUCCCCUUUCUCGAGUUCAAUUACUUCAAAGCUGCAAAAAGAAAAUAAUAUGAAUCAGGCAUUAAUACGGAAAGCUGGAUGAACAAAAUAUGAGCUUAAAAUUAGCGACAACCAAAUUUCGGAUCUAUAAUUCGGUACUGCGAUUCAGGAAGGUAUUCAAUUUUUUAAAGAAAGAAGCACAACAGAGAAACAAAGUUACCUGACCUGAGGCUAGGGGUGUUCGAAAGUAUAAAACAUAUAAAAAAAUAACCUUGUGAUUUGCCAGGUAACUGAACACACAGACUACAUUUUCUGUCUUAAAUUUGUUCUGUCAUGUCCUUUUUAUACGUAAAAUUCUUUAAAGGUGAUACAAAGAACAAAAAAAAAGAAGCUAUGUCUCUACUAAAUACUUCCCCGUGGUUAGGGGCAAAACUAAAAAUUUUGUGAAAGGUUUUCGAUAAAAUUAAAAGAAUUUUGGCAUAAACCCAAUCCUAAACUAAUCGCCAACACUGUCCAUUUAUCAAUAAACAAGGCAACUAAUUACACCUUGAAAAACCGAGAACCCAGAAAGAACCUGAAGGCAAAAGGGGUUCCAGCAAUGAUGAGCGACGACAACGGAGAACCCAGAAGAGUGCAAGCUGCUUGAGCCUUGAAAUAUCGGACGGUGGUGAGUGAAGUGACCGGACGGUGAAGGUGCGUCACUGCGUUGGGUUACGGUAGUCGGGGGUGACUGGUGGCUGUCGGCACACGGUAGUAGGGAGAUCUCAGAGGAAGCUAGAUAUUUGGGGAGAUAGAAUAUUAGGUUACUGAUUAGGGAUUUUUGUGUUAGUUUUUUGUUUUAGGAUAUGGACUUUCGGGUUGGGCUAAGGUUAUUGAGUUAGGAUUAGUGGUUAUUGGAAUGGGUUUAUUGGGUGGGCCGGCGGUUGGGUUUGGGUGGACAGUGGGCUAAUUAGCAAAGUCCUGUAAUAUAUAAUAUUAAUUUUUGAAAGUUCAGUUAAUUCGAUUAAUUAUCAAAUUUUGAGUCGAAUUAACCACUAAUUAAAUUUUUAAAAAUUAUUAACUGAAUUCUGACCGAAUUAAAUCGGUUAAUCUAUCGGUUAACUGAAUUAGAUCAGUUCGGUCAAUUAUUCAAUUUUAAUCGAAAUUUAAACAUCUCUAUCUAAGGUGACGAGUGAGUUCUCAACCGUCGACUAGAUUUUUUUUUUUAUGUUAGCAGCACAUCAAUAUUCUACAUCUAUAUAUAUAAUUCAGCUAAGGGUGGGAUUUUGAUUUUUUUUUUUUUACGUAUCUAUGCUAGCAUGGGUUUUUUUUUUAAUGUACCAUGAGGUUUUUUUACAGUGAUACAAUCCUAUUAUGUUAUUAAAUUAAUUAAGAGAAAAUAUUUAAUACAACUCUUUAGACUCUAUAAAUGUUUUAUAAAAAUGGGAUAUAGUAAAAUAUUAAAAAAUACAUAUUAAAAAAAUCGGGUCAAUUUUUUUAAAUUGUUUGUAGAAUAAAAAAAAAUACAAUAUCGAUAUAUCAACUAUUCACUCAUUAAUUAAAAAAUUUUAAAAAUGUUAUUAAAUCAAUAUUAGAAAAAAUAUGAAUAGCUUUUGAAUUUACAUAUUAUUUAUUAUUAAUUAAUAUUAAUAUGGUUUUCAAUCCACAUUUUAGAUUGGCGUAAAUAUUUAUUUAUAUCAAAGUACAAAGUAAAAUUUUGAAUAUUAAAAUAUGCUCUAAGUUCCUAUUCUUUGAAAUUUAAUUUUUUUUUAUUUUUAAGAUUUUAAUCCUUUUAUUUUCGGAUCUAAAAUUUAGGUAUAAUUGUCACCCUUCAUUAAAUUUCUUCUAUUAAAUUAUCUUGUAUAACAUUUUGAAAAUUUAAAUAUAUACAUAUAUAUAUAUUUGGUUGUCGUGUCACAGUAAAAAUGACACCAAAAGUAUUAAUCAAGAAUUUUUUUCUUAAAAACAUUCAUUCGAGUUUGUUAUAAUAAAUUAUUAUUUUUUGAUGGAAUAGUAUUCUUAAAAAAAAUUGACAUCAAUUUUUUGAUUGAAAUAGUUAACUAUAUUAAUUAUUUAGUCUAACUAAUAACAUUACAAAAAUAAGCAGAUCAAAUUAUGUUAAAAAAUAAAAUAUAUAGAUUAAAUUUUAAGUUUCGGCAUAGUCUACGAGUCAAAUUUGAAAUUUGACCAUUUUCUUAUGAUGUAAAAAAACCAAAACUUCAAAUAAAUUUGACGUCAUGCAUUCGUCUCUAAGAGUCUUAGAACAUUCAAAUUAUUUAUAACCACGUAAUAAUUUAAUUAAAAAAUUGACAAUAUUAAUUAUUUGAACUAAUAAUAACAUUAUAAAAAUAUAUAAAUCAUGUUAAAAAUUAAAUCUCAAUUUUAAGAAAAAUAAAAGAAUCAAAACUAAAAUUUAACUAAAAUUCUAAAAUGGAGAGAGAAAAAGAGAGUGUGGGUGUCCAUGUGUGUAACACCCUAUACCCGAUCUGGUCAUCUGACCCGAGUUAUAAGGUAAUACAAUUGUAAAACUUUAACAUUAUUCACUAUUCAGUCAAAAAUAAUUAAACCAUUCAUUCCAUAAUUAUAUUACAUUAAUUUUCAUGUUAUUCACUCAUAUUUGAGCCUAAAUCGAGCAUAUGAAGCCUUUAAAAUAAAUUGGGAACAAUUCUGGACUAAAUUGAAACUUUUACAUAAAUUCAGGUAAAUAGUAAAAAUAGGGACCACACGAUCGUGUGGUCAGACCGUGUGACAGAGCUCAGCCCGUGUGGCUCAAAAACAUAGUUGUGUGGCCAAAUCGUGUAACUAUUUGUGACUAUGUAAUUUAGGGUCACACAGCCAUGUCGCCAGGUCGUGUGACUCUCUGUGACCGUGUGGACAAACCUGCACCAAAAAUUAAGGACGCCACAUGGCCGUGUCAUGCAACUAUGUGGGACACACAGCUGUGUGGCAGAUUGUGUAUGCCCAAAAUACCUUCAACACAAGCUAAUUCACCUAAAAGUGACUAAAUGAUCCAUACUUGAUAAGCAUUAUAAGUUUAAACACUAUGUACACAAAAGACAUAUCUAUGUCAUGCUCAUCAAAUAACAUACACACUAAAUUUCAUACAUAAAAGCCCUAUACAUGUCAUUUAUAACCAUAGCCAAAAUAACUCAAAAUUAGCUAAAAUGAUUGUUGGAUAGUGUAAUAGGUCUCCGACAAGAUUCCAACCGAUCAAGCUUCCGAUGACCUACAAAAUAAGAAAAACAAAUACAUAAGCAACAGUGCUUAAUAAGUUCGUUUAAGAGAACUCAAACUUACCAAAAACAUGAUUUCAUGAUUAACCAUUCAAGCAUUUUAAUCCCUAUAUGCACAAUUCUUCCUAUACACACCACAUCACAAGUUAGUAACUAAAUACAUAAUUAAUUCAAAGUUUCAUACAAACCUUUACUAAAUGGUUCUUACCAUAAAUCCUUUUCAAUAAACCUUUCCAUUUCUUAACCCUUUUAGGGUGACAACCUUUUUCAACCUUUUCAUUGGAUAUCUGUUUCGGAUAUAUCCUUUACAACCAUUUUAUUUGAUAUCCAUUUCGGAUAUACCCUUUUCAACCUUUUCAAGAAUUCAAAAAUACUGAAUGUAGUGCCAUGGUGUCUUUCAACCAUAGUCUUUUCCUUUUCAAGUGUAAUACCAUAAGGUAUUUAAAUCUCAAUCCUUUCCUUUUCACAAUUCAAAGCAAUCUUAUACAUUAAAACAUAAUUACAUACACAAGAAAACUAUCAAAUAUUCUUACCAAUUCAAUUGUAACACAUAAUAACAUAAAAUACGAACUUACCUUGAUAAAACAAUUGUAAAAAUGAGGUCGAUGAUUAAUCCACCACUUUAGUUUUUUCUCGAUCUAAGUUCGUUUGAUUAGUACCUUGAUCUAAAUAUGAAAUUCAUUCAAUUAAGUAUUUAAAAUAGCUUAAACCAACCAUUUCCAACUUAUAACUCCUUUUACGAUUAAUUACAAUUUUACCCCAAUAUUUUAACUUUUAUACAAUUUAAUCCCUAAGACCAUAACUUGCAAAUUCAUUAUUUCUUAUCCAAUAUAUGCUAACCGAUUUUUCCUCCUACCUAUAUCAACUCACAUUUGUCCUCAAUUCAUAAAAAUAUACAUGAAAUUUAUCAUUUUAACAAAUCAAUCCUAAACCUUAAAUUUACUAAAAUUUACUUAACAAAACAUGUUCAUUUAACAACCAAAUUUAAGAAUAUAUCAUUUAACAUUAAAACACACCAAACUCUAUCAUGGCAAACCCCUCAACCUUUAAUAAUUUUGCAAAGUAACUCAUAGGCGACAUAGUUUAAGUGAAAACGAGCUUGAAAAUAUAAAAAUCAUUAAAAACGGAGCUCAAAUACAUACCAUGCAUGAGGAAAUUUCAAAACUGAAGCUUUCUCCCUUCCUUUAGUGGCUAUUCGGUUUUGUCUAAGCCAAAAUAGGGAAGAUGAUGACCAAAUUUUCACUUUUAUUUUGUUAACAUAACAUUAAUUAUUAAAUUACUAAACUAACCUUUAAAAACUAUUAAAAUCACACAAAAACCUUUCCAUCACAAUCCACUAUAUUAAUAUAUGUUUUAAUUGCCAUCUAAAUCCACUAUAUUAAAAUUUCAUAGCUAUUUAACCCUUUUAGCUAAUAGAUUUCUACUUUUGCAUCACUUAUAAUUUAACCAUUUUUUACUUAAUUAACUAUUUAAACAUUAAAAUUUCUUAACAAAAAAUUAAUACGACCUUAAAAUAAUCCUCUAGACAUUAAAAUAUUACUCACUUGUCGGAAUCGUGGUCCCAAAACCACUGUUUUCAACACCACUAAAAACAGGUUGUUAUUUGCAUUAUUAGCACAUCAUUGUCACUGUCAUUUGGCAUGUAUAUCAUGCCCACAACACAACACAAUUCAAAAUAGCCAUCAUAUACAUCUCAUAUCACAAUAUCGCAUCAUAAUAAUCAAUCCACAAUUAUUCACAUAAUCACAUAAUCACAUAAUUUGCCAAAAUAAAAUAAGGGAAAUAGAAAGCUUAUACUCGGAACUUAGGAUAGGGGUUUAGGCUAAUCAUAAGCUCCCAAUUAAUACUAUGAAUCGUGUCUACUAGCUGCGGUUCCAAACACUCACCAUUCACGCUUUCACCUUGUAACACCCCGUAUCCGUCGUAAGAGUAGGGUUAUGGAGUAUUAUCGACCAAUCCAAAAAUUAACAAUCAAUUCAUGAAUACUCAUAAGCAUGUAUUAAAUCAUAAAAAAAAAUGUGAAUUGUCCCUAAAUCGAGCUUUAAAGGUCUUAAAAUUUCCUUAGAAACAUUUCAGGACUAAAUAGAAAUCAUUUGAGAAGUUAAAGAAAAAGUUGCAAAAUUUUGACUACAGGGGUCACACUGCUGUGUCCCAGCCCGUGUCCGUACCCAUGUAACUCACUGACUUGGGUCACACGGCCAAGCCACACGCCUGUGUGUCAGGCCGUGUAACUGCCUGACUAGCAUGCAAAGGAACCUACAGGGGACACAUGGCGUGUCACCAGGCCGUGCGUCACACACGGCUGAGACACACGCCCGUGUCUCAGGCCAUGUGGAAAUUUUUUUUACCUAAAACAAGCAUUUUCCAAAUCCAAAACAAGCAUGAUCACUCUACCCAUUUAAGCACAUCUGAAAAGGGUCUUAAGGAACAACAAAACAUAGUCAAACAUGCUCAAGCAAGCAUCUUAAGUGCCUAAUCAAUGUGCACUCAUUGACACCACAUACAAUUCUAUCAUCAACAACUAAUAUACCAUCCAUAGGUAUCUCAAUCAAACUCAAAUAUACAAAUCAUUGAAUUUGAUAAAUGCACAACCUACAUAUAUCAUUCCCAUUCAAUUCACAACCCAAGUGACACAAAGAAUAGCUUUUCUUUAUCUACCAAAAAAACAACCUAGGUAAACCACCAAAAUGACCAAAUCAUUUAAGCAAACAUUACUUUCAAGUAUUGCAUAAAACUUCAAACAUGUAUUUACAAUCAUUUACACUUAAAAAUUCAUAUUCCCAAGAACUUACUAAACAAAAGGGACAUUAUUACUAAAUUUGCAUCCUAGGUACAUGCCAAAAACACAAAAGAAAACAUCACCAAUAUUGAGUACGGGAUUCUUGAAGGAUGCCGAGUCCGGUUCUACUAUUUAUCUAACCUACAAACAUGUAAAUCAAUUUACAAUUAACAGGUUUCAUUUAUUAAAUAACCACAAGAACAAUCAAUAACAAUAUGAAAUUAUAACUUAACCAAAUAAAAAUUUUAGUUCUUUCGAUAAUUCAAGUAACCUUGCCGUAUGAUCUAUUAGCUACGUGGCACUCGGUGCCUAGCGGGUAAACCGCAGAGGAGAUUACGGUCAGCGCUAGUCGGAUUAACCGACAGUAUUGAAUGUGAGCCCAGCUUUAGUUGGAUGAACCAACAAUGUUUGCGCCCAGCACUAGUUGGAUAUACCGACAAUAAUAAAUGUGAGCCCAGCUCUAGUUGGAUGAACCAAUAGUGUUUGAGCCCAGCGUUAGUCGGAUAGACCGACGAUUGUGUGCCCAGCACUAGUCAGACAAGCUAACAAAGAUUGCGCUCAGCGUUAGUCGAUUAUAUCAACAAAAUCCACAGUGAGCCCAGCUCUAGUCGAAUAUAUCGACGACUAUAUAAUUAUUUACUUCCACAAUUUCCUCAUUCAUUUUACUUUACAUUAAAUUGAUAAUACACAUACAUUUUAUAUCAAAAGCUAGAUUAGCAUUGUUUAAUUAAAUAGUAAUUAGAAAGAUUAAGUUCGAGUCCACAAACUUACCGGAAUUUUGCUCAUGAACAAUUAUUCAAAAGCUUUCUCUUUUCCACGAUUGGCAAUGGAAGCUCUCGUUUCUCGAUCUAGAAAUAUUAAUUUAAUUAGAUCAAUUACUCAAUAAUUAUAGUUACACAUUUAACCAUUAACAAUUGUUAUUCAAUCAACUUAAUCCUUGCCACAAAUAUAACUAGACACCCAAUGUCUACAAUAAUGUCCUCAUACAACCGAGUAUAUUUAUAUACAUAGUCCUUAUACUCUUGGAAUUUAUCACUCAUUAUCAUGCUAUCUGAAAUUUAACAGCAGCUACAUCCUUAUCCAUCAAUUCCAUUCAAAAUCAUCAUACAAUCACAUUAAAAUGACAAUUGAAAUUAACAUCUCUACUUCAUUUAAUUAUUUUUUUUCCAGCUCAUAAGCAUUCAAAGAAAGACAGCCCUUGCAUGCCAAAUUUCUCCCAACAACCUUAAACUCAAUCUCAUUAUUCAAUAUAUCACCAAUGUGCAAAUCAUAAGAUUAUCCUUAACAAGUUUUUCCCUAAAAUAUCCAUGCAUUUAAGCUCACCAUUAAAUCCAAAAGAAAAUUUAAACUGCAUCUAUGGCAUUAUCCACUACUUCCAAAAUUUCUCCAUUCUAGCAUAAGGAUUAGCUAAAUUAAUCGAUUCCCAACUCAAAAAUAUAAUCAAAAUGAAAAUCCCUUUGAGAAAUACUUACAUGCAUUAAAAGAUAGCAAACAAAAUAACCAAGCUUUUCCUCUUAAACCUUCAAUGGUUUUUCGGCAGUAACAAAGAAGAAGAAAAACAUUCUCCCCCUCCCCACUCACUUUCUUUUCUUUAUUAUUUUCUUUCCUAUCAACAUUAAUAUUUUCUUUUCUUUUAUUAAUUUCCCUACAUAUUAUAAUUAUCCUAUUAUAAUUUUUAAUAAUAUAUAUAUAUAUAUUAUUCUCAUACUCAUCCACUAAUAAAACCCAUUUAAGUAAUGGUUUAUUUCAUUUCUAAGUCCUUUGAUAUUUAUCUUCUUUAUAAAUUUAGUAUUCUUUCCCACUUUUAGCACCUAUUGAUUUAGUCCCUUUUGAAUAAAAUAAAAAAAAUUUAUUUAAUUAAUUAAUACUCAAUUCACUUUUAAAGUAACUCCCAAAAAAUAUAGUAAUAAUAUUUUUGAGCCCGAUUCGCGCAGGCGGGGUCCCAAAAGUAUGUUUCCCGACACCCCUGACUUACGGGAUAUUACACACCUAGUCGUCGAAAACUCAAACUAGCUUUUCCUUUCCUUUUACCUUGCUCGCCAAAGGCUCCAACACUUCUGUAUCUCCACCAAAGUUAACCACACAAUAACCAUGAUUAAAAUUAAGCUAUAGACACUCUUAAAACAACCAAAACACAGGCCUAAAUUAGUUCAUAUUGGAACCGAAACCUUCGACAUAGCAAACUUGAAACUCAAUUAUCUCAAUCUCCACUCAUCCUCUUUGCGUAAAACUAAUUCCAUUCAUCUAAUUAUUCAUCUAAGAUUAACUCUUAACCUUUAAACUACACAAAAUUACCCAAUUCGUGGCUACAAAAUUUCAACGUAAAAUAGACAUUUUUCAUGAAAACUCAAUAAAACCAUAAAAUCUCUUAAUGAAACUUUACGGAAAGUAUAGAAACCUUCUAAUCAUGUCAAAAUAAGUUUAAAAAACACUUUGAAACAUCAUUUUUAUGCAAAAUCCCAAAUUUCACCAUUAAUGACUUAAUUUUCAGCUUUUAUUCAAAUAUUUCGAUUUAAUGGAUUAAAACUCAAUUUAAAAGACUAGAUAACAUAAAAAAUUAAUAGGAAAAUGAUUUUUAAAACUUUGGUAUAAUUUCUUUAUAACUACUCCUAUUUUGCACCCUUUUACAAAAUAGUCCUUAUUCAAAAUUAAAGGUUUUUUGAAACUCAUUUUGGAAAAUUGAUUUAAUUUUCUAAAAGCUAUAAACGAAGACAUUUCCGGUUUAUCAUGCUACAAAAUUCUGAGCAUAAAUGAGCUAAAAUUCUCAUUUUACCCUCAAAAUUCCUAGGCCCAAUUUUGGGGUGUGACAUGGACGCCUUCGUAGCUAUCUAUUGAUCAAGCGUAUGUCUGUAGACAAGGGAAAACAUCUGAAGUAAAGAAAACACCUUAGUGGUGCAAUUUGUGGAAUGACCUCGGGACAAAGAUUCAAUGGCAACACCAAAAUGGCGAACUCUAAAGAGAAGCAUAACUAUCCAGUUUGAAACAACGAAAGAAUGGCGAGAAAUGCAUGAUGAUGAGAAGCAAACGAAAUCUGCCUUAGGAAGGUGAAAUGGAAAGUGAGUUGCCAAUACUAACCCGUAAGUAAAUCGUAUGACACCGACUGAGGUAAGAAUGUUUACAGAAUAUGAAUGAGUACAAGAUAUGAAGAGAUUUAAUACAUGUUUUGCUGAGUUAGAUGAAUAUCUGUCUUGUUCCAUAAAGUAAAGUGCAAUGUUUACACCCUAUAUGAAAUGAUGAAUAAAUGUAUGAUAAUACCUCAUUAAGUUCUCAUGAACUUAUUUGAUUGAUUGUAGGAGUUGUUAAAAAGAAGGGUGGCGAGAGACAAUGCCAAGGCUACGCCAUAGGAGCAGCAGUCUGUGCUGAUAUGCAUGCAGAGAAGAAAAAGAUCGUGGCGAAGUUACAAUCCACGCCAAGGAAAAACUAAGAGAGUCAUACGAUUAGUUAGAAGUAUUGACAACACACAAAUUUACACGAGAAGCCUUAUGGCAAAGUUUAAGUCUACGCAUAAGAUGUAAUACUUUGUAUAGUGAUAGAAGUAAGGCGAAAACAAUAGUCAUAUUACUUUGAUUGUAAAUGUAAUAUUACAUUGUACAAUAAGUUUACACAAUAAGUAAAACGAGGUAUUUUAGGUAAAAAGACUUAAAAAUUUUAUUAGUUGAAUAGUUACAUAGGAGAGCAAAGUAGGAGUCUAAGUACGUCGAUCCUUAGGAGUAACACUCAAAACUCGGAUCCAGUUUAUCAGGUCAAGUGGAGGGCAUUACAUUAGGCGUUAAAUCAUUAAAUAAAGUUAGUAAAGAAGGUUUAGAAACGAAAGCCACAGAUGCUGAAGCGAAGUCGCAAUCAUUAGCAAAGACUAUAACAAACAAAGAUAGUGGAGUAGCUCCAGGAACGAUAGUAAACCACAAUUAAGCAAGGCCUCCAACCAUAGAAGUUACCUCUAAAAAGGUUAGUGAAGCAACAAUAGAGAAUUCAGUCAAGGAUGUUGGAGGAAAGGUUCGACCUUCAAAAGUUACAGAGGAGAAAACUAGUGAAGAUGGUAAUGGGACUUCAAACCAUGGUCCUAAAACAAAGUAGAAAGCUAAAGGUACGAAUAGUUAUUACAUUACAUGAAGAAAUCUUCUGCUGCUCGUACAUAUAGCUGCAUGUUGGCUUUUCCCUAUAAUCUUUCUUUUCUUGGACUUGGGUUAUUUUCUUACCCCUUUUUGUUAGCUAUCAUUCUUUUUUUAACACAAUUGUCAUUACAAUUUUGGGAGAUUAAAUAGAAUUUCGUAGGUGAGAAUGCAGUGAUACGAAGUACCUAUGCAAUUAUUUUUCUUUCACGGUUUCAUUUUUUUGGUUAAAAUACUAAAAAAAUUCUUAAAACUAUUUUUUUUAAAUAAGCACUUAUCUUCUAUUGUACCCAAUAAGUUAUUAUCAUUUAAUUUGUGUGAUUAAUAUUAAUUCUAUUUCAAAUUUAAUGUGAUUAAUAUUAAAGAUUCUUUUUAGUCAACGUUUGGAAACUAGAAUUUUAGAAUUUUAGAUUUCAAAAAUAGUAUAAAUUGAGUAGUAACCUAUUUAGAAAUGUAAUAUUUGUGAUUUCUCGAACUCCUAGAUUUGUUAGAUGCUUAUAUAGUAAUGAAUUUGAAAUCCUUAAAAUAUUUUUAGAUUUGACAAAUCCAUGUUUCUAUGCAUUUUUUUGUGUAUAUUAUAUUAAAUUUCAACUAAUUUAUCUAUAAUAUACAUAUUUAUUCUUACCAUUUAUAUAAUAAAUGAAAUUCAAAUACAAAUUUUCAAAUUUAUAGGUCUUUUUUAAUUAGAAGUAUUUUCUUCGAGUAUAAAUUAAAGUUAAAAGCUUUUAUAUAUAUUAGAGGUUAAGGGUUUUUUUCCUUUUGAUAAAAAGUUUAUUUGGAAGCAAUAAAAAGUAGAAGGAUUUUUCUAAACAUUUUUUUCUUUAAGCAAGGAAUAUGGAGAAGAAAAUGAAAAUGUGAAAAAUAGAAAUUUGUAAUCUACUAGUUUAGGAAAAAAUAAACAAAAAGAUUAAGGAAAAUGGACAUAUUUUUUUAGCAAUUAACUUCAUCAAAUAAACCUUAAAAUCUUAGGAAAAAUCACAACAAUUGGACUACAUAUAAUUAAUUGAUCACACAGUUAAAUAAAUUCUAUUAACAAAAUUAAAAAAAUUCAAAUAUAAUAAUAUUAGCAAUUGAUUUUUAUUAAACUAGCCUUAAAGCUUAAAUUAAAUAUUGAAAAGUUAACACUGUUACUUUUGGAUACCAAAAUACAAAACUUUUGUAAAAUAUAACUAACACGUAUACCGCAAAAAAAAUGUCAAACUUGAGUAUCAAGUGAUGUAUAUUAAAGUAAACUGUAGAAUAUAAAAUGUCUACAAAAAUUUUAGAGUUCAAUUAAUGUUUUAAGGAAUUAAUUUUAAAAAAAAAACAAAAUAAUUACAACAUAAUUUAAUAGAAUAUGCUUUUAAAUAAUUUUAAUUAUAUUACCUCUAUCCAAGAAAAGUACAACUUGCAUAUCAAUUUUCAUAUAUUGAAAACAGAUUUUUGAAAUUAGUACAAGAAUUAUUUUUUUCGUAUGAACCCAGUUAAAGGUUUGAUAAAGAUCGAUGUAAUGUCUCGUGUGUGAAAAAAAUUGGCCAACAUUUCUAUCAACAAAUAGAAAGUUGUUCAAGUUACCUACUAUCGUGGUUCGUAAUCUACAAAUCAUUUUGACUUUCUCAGAAUCAGAAAAGAAAUGGCACUUGCGAUUGUAGCAUAGAACAUCAUUAUCGGUUGAAAAUUUUACAACUAAAACCAGUGGGUUGAUGUGAGUACAUCAACUUUGAUGCAAAAGAAGUAAAGUGUACAAUCCCAAGGUUCGAUGUGUCAAGCAAGCACUUGAUAAAAAUCAGGAAUUCUGUUUAAUAUAAGGAACAUGAUUCAGCAUAAAACAUGAAAACGCCAUAAUGAGUCCAACAGCUAUUGCAUAAAUGGCAAAACACAAAAUCCAAUAAUCAAGUUCAACCCCAAGUAAAUAACUUUGACAAAAUUAGGUUAAGAUUACUGCUAAGAAAUACAACUAACCGCGAACACCCCGAUUGAGACUAACCAUGCGAGCUGAAGCAUCCAUCUGGUAACCUCUCAUUCCUGAACCGGCUCUCCCAGAGUAUCCGCCUGUUCCUCGUGAUUGACUUGACCGAUCCCUUGAAGCCUGCCCUAAUGCCAAUGGUCUGCCACCACCAGUAUACGCGGCACGUCCAGAACUACCUUGCCUACCCUGAUUGUAGGACAAGUCUGGCCACCUACCGCCGCCGCCGCCAGCUGUCCCAGCAGCAUAUUCCUGGUUAUCUCGCCGCCUUAGUGGCAGAUCCAAUCCACCACCACCAAAUCUAGCCUCGACUGCCCUCUCAUUACUCUCAGCAAGUAUUGAAAGCUUUUCUGUCAACUGGAAUGCCAAGGCCUGCAACCUUGAGUACUCAACAUCAUGGAAGAUGAUGCAUCGAGUUGGCUGGUCCCAGCUUGCAUGGAGUUCUUCAUUUACCAACAUCUUGCUAACAAUGCUAUGAAUCUGGGCAUCUGAGAGGUCAAACAUUUUGGUGAGCUGGUCCAGGCCUAGUGUAUCAUAGGAAGAACAGUAGGUAAAAAGGUAAGUCCUCAGAGCCUCUUCCUUGAUCUUAGCUUUCAGCAUUUCAAGCACGCUCUCUCUAUUCCUAAGGAGCUUCCAAACAUCAAGAGAAUUAAUGACGUCAAAGGCCUUCUGGAAAUCUCCCUUGCAGAGGGCCCGGGUUGCAGC